GAUGAACGUUGGCGGCGUGCCUAACACAUGCAAGUCGAACGCUAGUAGCAAUAUUAGAGUGGCGCACGGGUGAGUAACACGUAGCUUACCCACCUCCCAGCGCGGGAUAACGGUUCGAAAGAACUGCUAAUACCGCAUAAGCUCACGGGCUAUAGAGGCUGGUGAGAAAGGCUUAGGUCACUGGGAGCGGGGGCGUGCGGCCCAUCAGCUGGUUGGUGAGGUAACGGCUUACCAAGGCGACGACGGGUAGGGGACCUGAGAGGGU
rnacentral:rRNA from 1 species